rnacentral:lncRNA from 1 species
UUUAUUAGAAAUAUAUUUACACAAUAUGGUCAGAGCAACAUCAAGGAGUCGGAUGCUGGUGCACAGAUUCUCCUCAAAUUCCACAUGCAACCCUUGUAGAGAAGAACGACAUAUUUUUCUUAGGUGAUUUUUGACCGAGCUCCUACAGAAAAAUUCAAAGAAAUCAUGAGGAGCAUGGAGCCAAGCAAACUAAUCAGAGUAAAUCAUGAGAGGAGAAGCCUCUCAACCUACUACAGGGAAUCGAGUCAACAUUAAUUCGUGUAAGAAUUAAACCGAUAAAAUAACCCUGACACAACCCAUUAAUACAAUAUAUGGUCACAGGAAGUAGAUUUAGAUUGUGCAGAUAUCAUGAUCUACGAACCGUAUCUAUGAAUAUUGAUUGCAAAGUCACAAACAGAACCUCCUCACAUCACAAAACAAAUGUUUCAUCAACAGAAACUCUAGCGAAUGCCAAUUGGAUUAUAUAAGUAAGAUAGAGACAUCGAAAAAAAGAAAAGAUAAUUCAAAGAGUAUAUAUAUUCUAUUUUCUUACUUGACAUCACAGAGAAUGCAAGUCAAAGAUAUUGCGAUACAUCUUACCCUUCUAUAAAUUGACUGCAAGGCACAAUCCCCAGCAAAAUAUACAGAAUGAAUUGCUCCUAUGGUUCAAGUAUUGCAUAAAUAGUUAUAUACAGACUAUUCAACAGUGAGCAUAAACAUGGCAUGUACUACCAAAAUCCCUUUGCUAUGGAGCUUAGUCUGCAUGUCUAUUCGUCUUUCUGUAAAUCAGUUGUGGCCAAGAUGUGCUGACAGCUCACCAGCCUCUCCCCGUUUACCAAUAAAAUCAAAGAAGCUCAAAGCAAAAAAAAAAAAGAACAUAGAUAUAUCUACCUGAUGUAAUUGCUUGUAACUCCAGAGUGUUGGUAGAGUCGAGAAGAGAACACCCAGCCAAUGUUACAGCAGAUCGAUCUGCAGUCUUUGUUAGGGACGGCGCCAUCAUUAGAGGUCCCAAUUGUAAAUCAAUCUGCAAGAGAUGGAGAUGCGACUGGAAGCUUACGGAUUUGAUGCAUCAGAACAGCCAUGGCCCAUGGGCAGAGGAGAAGUGCCGGCAGCUGGGGAUCUGACGUGUCACAGACAGCAUGGGUAGAGGAGAGGCGGCGGCAGAUCAAGCCUUGGGCAUGGCAGGCGGAAGCAC